GAUGAACGCUGGCGGCGUGCCUAAUACAUGCCAGUCGAGCGAACAGACGAGGAGCUUGCUCCUCUGACGUUAGCGGCGGACGGGUGAGUAACACGUGGAUAACCUACCUAUAAGACUGGGAUAACUUCGGGAAACCGGAGCUAAUACCGGAUAAUAUAUUGAACCGCAUGGUUCAAUAGUGAAAGACGGUUUUGCUGUCACUUAUAGAUGGAUCCGCGCCGCAUUAGCUAGUUGGUAAGGUAACGGCUUACCAAGGCAACGAUGCGUAGCCGACCUGAGAGGGUGAUCGGCCACACUUGAACUGAGACACGGUCCAGACUCCUACGGGAGGCAGCAGUAGGGAAUCUUCCGCAAUGGGCGAAAGCCUGACGGAGCAACGCCGCGUGAGUGAUGAAGGUCUUCGGAUCGUAAAACUCUGUUAUUAGGGAAGAACAAAUGUGUAAGUAACUAUGCACGUCUUGACGGUACCUAAUCAGAAAGCCACGGCUAACUACGUG
rnacentral:rRNA from 1 species